GACGAACGCUGGCGGCGUGCUUAACACAUGCAAGUCGAACGGAAAGGCCCCUUUGGGGGUACUCGAGUGGCGAACGGGUGAGUAACACGUGAGUAACCUGCCCUUGACUUCGGGAUAACUUCAGGAAACUGGGGCUAAUACCGGAUAGGAAUCCUUGCUGCAUGGUGGGGGUUGGAAAGCUUCGGCGGUUUUGGAUGGACUCGCGGCUUAUCAGCUUGUUGGUGGGGUAGUAGCUUACCAAGGCUUUGACGGGUAGCCGGCCUGAGAGGGCGACCGGCCACAUUGGGACUGAGAUACGGCCCAGACUCCUACGGGAGGCAGCAGUGGGGAAUAUUGCACAAUGGGCGGAAGCCUGAUGCAGCAACGCCGCGGGCGGGAUGACGGCCUUCGGGUUGUAAACCGCUUUCAGCAGGGGCGAAGCUUGUGGUGACGGUACCUGCAGAAGAAGCACCGGCUAACUACGUG
rnacentral:rRNA from 1 species